rnacentral:tRNA from 1 species
GCCGAAGUGGCGAAAUUGGUAUACGCACUGGACUCAAAAUCCAGCGCUGUUUUACGGCAUGCCGGUUCAAAUCCGGCCUUCGGCA